rnacentral:rRNA from 1 species
UUGGGCGUUAAGUUGCAGGGUAUAGACCCGAAACCCGGUGAUCUAGCCAUGGGCAGGUUGAAGGUUGGGUAACACUAACUGGAGGACCGAACCGACUAAUGUUGAAAAAUUAGCGGAUGACCUGUGGCUGGGGGUGAAAGGCCAAUCAAACCGGGAGAUAGCUGGUUCUCCCCGAAAGCUAUUUAGGUAGCGCCUCGUGAAUUCAUCUCCGGGGGUAGAGCACUGUUUCGGCUAGGGGGCCAUCCCGGCUUACCAACCCGAUGCAAACUGCGAAUACCGGAGAAUGUUAUCACGGGAGACACACGGCGGGUGCUAACGUCCGUCGUGAAGAGGGAAACAACCCAGACCGCCAGCUAAGGUCCCAAAGUCAUGGUUAAGUGGGAAACGAUGUGGGAAGGCCCAGACAGCCAGGAUGUUGGCUUAGAAGCAGCCAUCAUUUAAAGAAAGCGUAAUAGCUCACUGGUCGAGUCGGCCUGCGCGGAAGAUGUAACGGGGCUAAACCAUGCACCGAAGCUGCGGCAGCGACGCUGAUGCGUUGUUGGGUAGGGGAGCGUUCUGUAAGCCUGCGAAGGUGGCCUGUGAGGGUUGCUGGAGGUAUCAGAAGUGCGAAUGCUGACAUAAGUAACGAUAAAGCGGGUGAAAAGCCCGCUCGCCGGAAGACCAAGGGUUCCUGUCCAACGUUAAUCGGGGCAGGGUGAGUCGACCCCUAAGGCGAGGCCGAAAGGCGUAGUCGAUGGGAAACGGGUUAAUAUUCCCGUACUUGGUGUUACUGCGAAGGGGGGACGGAGAAGGCUAUGUUGGCCGGGCGACGGUUGUCCCGGUUUAAGCGUGUAGGUGUGUGUUCCAGGUAAAUCCGGUUCACUUUAACACUGAGGCGUGAUGACGAGGCACUACGGUGCUGAAGCAACAAAUGCCCUGCUUCCAGGAAAAGCCUCUAAGCAUCAGGUAACAUCAAAUCGUACCCCAAACCGACACAGGUGGUCAGGUAGAGAAUACCAAGGCGCUUGAGAGAACUCGGGUGAAGGAACUAGGCAAAAUGGUGCCGUAACUUCGGGAGAAGGCACGCUGACACGUAGGUGAAGUGAUUUACUCAUGGAGCUGAAGUCAGUCGAAGAUACCAGCUGGCUGCAACUGUUUAUUAAAAACACAGCACUGUGCAAACACGAAAGUGGACGUAUACGGUGUGACGCCUGCCCGGUGCCGGAAGGUUAAUUGAUGGGGUCAGCGCAAGCGAAGCUCCUGAUCGAAGCCCCGGUAAACGGCGGCCGUAACUAUAACGGUCCUAAGGUAGCGAAAUUCCUUGUCGGGUAAGUUCCGACCUGCACGAAUGGCGUAAUGAUGGCCAGGCUGUCUCCACCCGAGACUCAGUGAAAUUGAACUCGCUGUGAAGAUGCAGUGUACCCGCGGCAAGACGGAAAGACCCCGUGAACCUUUACUAUAGCUUGACACUGAACAUUGAGCCUUGAUGUGUAGGAUAGGUGGGAGGCUUUGAAGUGUGGACGCCAGUCUGCAUGGAGCCGACCUUGAAAUACCACCCUUUAAUGUUUGAUGUUCUAACGUGGACCCGUGAUCCGGGUUGCGGACAGUGUCUGGUGGGUAGUUUGACUGGGGCGGUCUCCUCCUAAAGAGUAACGGAGGAGCACGAAGGUUGGCUAAUCCUGGUCGGACAUCAGGAGGUUAGUGCAAUGGCAUAAGCCAGCUUGACUGCGAGCGUGACGGCGCGAGCAGGUGCGAAAGCAGGUCAUAGUGAUCCGGUGGUUCUGAAUGGAAGGGCCAUCGCUCAACGGAUAAAAGGUACUCCGGGGAUAACAGGCUGAUACCGCCCAAGAGUUCAUAUCGACGGCGGUGUUUGGCACCUCGAUGUCGGCUCAUCACAUCCUGGGGCUGAAGUAGGUCCCAAGGGUAUGGCUGUUCGCCAUUUAAAGUGGUACGCGAGCUGGGUUUAGAACGUCGUGAGACAGUUCGGUCCCUAUCUGCCGUGGGCGCUGGAGAACUGAGGGGGGCUGCUCCUAGUACGAGAGGACCGGAGUGGACGCAUCACUGGUGUUCGGGUUGUCAUGCCAAUGGCACUGCCCGGUAGCUAAAUGCGGAAGAGAUAAGUGCUGAAAGCAUCUAAGCACGAAACUUGCCCCGA